AUAGCCUUUAGCUAACACAAGUAUUAAAGGUAACGCCUGCCCAGUGAAAAUUUAACGGCCGCGGUAUCCUAACCGUGCAAAGGUAGCGUAAUCACUUGUCUUCUAAAUAAAGACCAGUAUGAACGGCUAAAUGAGGAUAAUCCUGUCUCCUUUAACUAAUCAGUGAAACUGAUCUUCCAGUACAAAAGCUGGAAUAACAAUACAAGACGAGAAGACCCUGUGGAGCUUUAAAUUAUAGACCAAAAUAAACCACCAUAAAUAUUUAUGCCAAACAAUUUUAAGUUGGGGCGACUUCGGAAAAAAACUUAACUUCCAAGCACAAGAGAUGACAUCUUAAUUUAGGUUUACCAACCAAAACAAAAAUUGACCCAGUACUACUGAUCAACGAACCAAGUUACCCCAGGGAUAACAGCGCUAUCUUCUUCAAGAGUCCCUAUCGCCAAGAAGGUUUACGACCUCGAUGUUGGAUCAGGACACCCAAAUGGUGCAGCCGCUAUUAAAGGUUCGUUUGUUCAACGAUUAACAGUCCUACGUG
rnacentral:rRNA from 1 species